AGAGGAGCCACUGCAGUGAGAGGCCCUCGCACGGAAACUGGAGAGGAGCCCCCGGCUCGAGAAGGGCCACUGGCAGCAAGGAGGACCAGCGCAGCCAAAGAAAGGAGCAGGAAACACACACACGACAGAGUCGCUCUGCGGCACAGAAGUGAACACAGCAUCGUAAACCAGCUUCAACAAAACUUUUUAAAAAGAGAUGAAGCUGCUCUUCUUCAUAAAGAGGACAAGAGGGCUUCGCUGGGAGCCCGGCCUCUCCACCUAGACUCUCCCGGAAAAGAAGCAUGUUCUCUUACUCAGCACGCUCGGGUUCAACGUCCUCCAGCCGUAACCGCACAGACUCACCAGCUGCUCCCGUUUAGUGGCUUAAAAAAUGGUCUUGGUAGUGACUGCAAUGGUCUCCAGACACAGAGGCCGCUACAGCUUGAGACUUGAUCUUGACACACUCAUUCGGUUCCCUACUUUUUCCCCCAAGGCUCGAGGUUCAUCCACCUUGCUAGAACUGACUCAAAUUUGCUCCUUUUAUGGCUGAGUACUAUUCCUUUGUAUAUAUGUACCACAACUUCUUCAUCCAUUCAUCUGUUGACGGACAUUGAGGUUGCUCACUCUUAUCUGUGGUUCCGAUGACAUCUUGCCAAAAUGCAGGUCCAACAGGAUCCCUGGGGGACACUGGAGCUUUAUCACUCUGCCUGUAAAGACCAGUUUCCAGAUCCCUUUCGCAUUUCGUCUCUGAAGCGCAGCAGGCAGGACAGGGCAGGUGAAGGCUGCCAACGGCCACCCACCAGGCUGCGCCUGAACACAGCCCAGUGGUACAGACUUCCCUCAGCCCAUGGCUGGACCAGUCACAUCCUUUGAGCUCCUCAGAAAGGCUGAGUGAGAGACGCAGAGGAGGGCAUUACUCAGAUCAGCUUUGUCCUUAUCCAGGAGCCCUCAUGGCUCAGCAAUGCCCAGUCAGUGUCCCCCACCCGGGGCAGGCUGGUGAUGGAGCUGAUGGCGGCAGACUCUCCCGCUGGAGGGCCUGUGUGCUGCGGACUGAGGCCCGCUGGAUAGAACCCUACCUCGGGUCUUGGAGCCCCGGCUGCUCCCCUGUGGGGGCGCGGCUUACAGCCUGGGCCUGAAGCGUGGUCUGCAGGCCCUCCUUCCCGCGGUCCGUGCGCGCUCAUCCGUCAGCGCGGCUCCGUCCACCACGCUGCCACUCUGGGCUUCACCGGAGACAGCUGUGGUGCUCCCAACGGGUUCUUACGAGAACUCUCUCUCCCCACUUCUGGAAUACAGAAGGUCAGCUGCCUCCCCAAGACAGGCUUGGUCUGGAGGCGGGGGCCUCUUGAGCCUACCGGGCAGGCCUGAGCCAAACCACACACCCCGAGGGAUCAGCGGCCUUCUAGAGAUGCAAGGAGAUGGACUGAAGUCCCACUGUUGCCAGAGGAGGAAGAGAACCCCCAACAGCACUCUGCGCUCCCUUCUGCAGAUCUGAGGCUGCGCUGGGACACUUCACAGGCACCUCCCGGAGCAAGCAGCGAGCUGGGCUCUCGAUGAGGUCAGGAGCCUGGGCUUCAGACCAGCACCUGCAUCUCUGCUGUGGCCCCUCUCUUCACACCAGCUGUGUUGUGAUGCGCUGUUAGCUGAAAAAGGAAAACUGCUUACCCAACAGCAAGCACGUUCCAGCGAAUAGAUUUUGUAAUAUUUAGUAUCACUUAUAUUAUGAAUAUGUGUUGUACAGCUGUAUGCGUACAU
ensembl:lncRNA